rnacentral:rRNA from 1 species
GACGAACGCUGGCGGCGUGCUUAACACAUGCAAGUCGAACGGUAAGGCCCUUCGGGGUACACGAGUGGCGAACGGGUGAGUAACACGUGGGUGAUCUGCCCUGCACUUCGGGAUAAGCCUGGGAAACUGGGUCUAAUACCGGAUAGGACCACUGCCUGCAUGGGUGGCGGUGGAAAGCUUUUGCGGUGUGGGAUGGGCCCGCGGCCUAUCAGCUUGUUGGUGGGGUGAUGUCCUACCAAGGCGACGACGGGUAGCCGGCCUGAGAGGGUGACCGGCCACACUGGGACUGAGAUACGGCCCAGACUCCUACGGGAGGCAGCAGUGGGGAAUAUUGCACAAUGGGCGCAAGCCUGAUGCAGCGACGCCGCGUGAGGGAUGACGGCCUUCGGGUUGUAAACCUCUUUCAGCACCGACGAAGCGCAAGUGACGGUAGGUGCAGAAGAAGGACCGGCCAACUACGUGCCAGCCGCCGCAGUAA